CUGUCUCCCAGGCUGGAGUGCAGUGGUGCGAUCUCGGCUCACUGCAACUUACGCCUCCCAGGUUCAAAUGAUUCUCCUGCCUCAGCCUCCUGAGGUGCUGGGAUUACAGGUGCCUGCCACCAUGCCUGGCUAAUUUUUGUAUUUUUAGUGGAGACGGGAUUUCACCAUGUUGGCCAGGCUGGUCUGAACUCCUGACCUCGUGAUCCUCCCGCCUCGGCCUCCCAAAGUGCUGGGAUUACAGGUGUGAGCCACCGUGUCUGGCCCUGCCCAGGCCCUUUCUACAGAGGGCCUUGUGACGUAUCUCUGCAUCAAUCACCUAGGAGAGUGACUCUCCAUUUUUGCCUGCACUCUGCCUACAGGAAAAAUUGUGACUUAUCACUAGACUCAGGUAAUGUGUCUCCCCUGCCUGGGCCUGGACCACAGAGAGCAUUGUUAUCCAUUGCUGGGCUCAGCACCCAGGUGAUGUGACUGCUGCCUAUGUCCUGCUUUCAGGGGAAGUUUGCAACAUAUUCCUGGCUAAAUAUUCAGGUGAGGGCCGGGCGUGGUGGCUCACGCUUGUAAUCCCAGCACUUUGGGAGGCCGAGGCGGGCGGAUCACGAGGUCAGGAGAUCGAGACCACGGUGAAACCCCGUCUCUACUGAAAAUACAAAAAAUUAGCCGGGCGUGGUGGCGGGCGCCUGUAGUCCCAGCUACUCCGAGAGGCUGAGGCAGGAGAAUGGCGUGAACCCGGGAGGCAGAGCUUGCAGUGAGCCGAGAUUGUGCCACUGCACUCCAGCCUGGGCGACAGAGCGAGACUGUCUCAAAAAAAAAAAAAAAAUAUUCUGGUGAUGUGAUACUCCUAUCUGGUCUCUGCCCUCAGAAAAGACUGUGACAUAUUCCCGGCCCAAAACCCACGUGAUGCGACUCCUCUCUCCCUGUUCACAGGUGGGAUUGUGAAAUAUAGCUUGGCCCAGUUCGCAGGCGCAAUUAUGACUCUUCUACCUUCAAUAUGCCAGUAAGAGAGAUGCUGCCUCUUAUAGCUAAGCUUAGGGUUAUGAGUAUUAUUCUGGGUCUCUUUCUUGUACAAAUGUCAUAGAGAAUUACUUUUUUUUUUUCUUUUUUUUGAGAUGGAGUUUCGUUCAUGUUGCCCAGGCUGGAAUGUAGUGGUGCAGUCUCGGCUCACUGCAUCCUCCACCUCCUGGGUAAUUUUUAUAUUUUUAGUAGAGAUAGGAUUUUGCCAUGUUGGCCAGGCUGCUCUUGAACUCCUGACCUUGGGUGAUCCACCCACCUCGGCCUCCCAAGGUGUUGGGAUUACAGGCAUGAGCUACCACGCCCAGCUGAGAAUUACCACUUUUUUUUUUUUUUUUUUUGAGACAGGGUUUCGCCCUUGUCGCCCAGGCUGGAGUACAAUGGCGAGAUCUUGGCCCAUUGCAGCUUCCGCAUCCUGGGUUCAAGUGAUUGUCGUGCCUCAGUCUCCUGAGUAGCUGGGAUUACAGGCAUGUGCCACCAUACCUGGCUAAUUUUGUAUUUUGAGUAGAGACGGGGUUUCUCAGUGUUGGUCAGGCUAGUCUAGAACUCCCGACCUCAGGUAAUCUGCCUGCCUCGGCCUCCCAAAGUGCUGGGGUUACAGGUGCCAGCCACCAUGCCCAGCCAAAUUACCACUGUUUUGAAUACUAUGUAAAUCUCUCGUGGUAUAGAGACUGUCAUUAUAGAGUUCAGCAAGAAGGUGAGAUUGUGUUUCUUCUUUGCCCACCUCACCAACUGUUAAAAUUGUCACCCUCACAGUGAUGGAGCCCACUGGUGAGGUCCUGAAUCUCAUGCACAGACACAGUCCACAGUUAAAAUUGUGGCUGUUAUAUGUGAACAUUCUGCAGGAGUUUGAAUAAUGACUUAUUUCUAAAUCUAGUUCAUAGGUGAGAAUUUUUCAAUCUGAACCAAUGAGAAGUCUACUGACUUCCUGAGGACAUGUUGACUCUCAUACCUGGGCUGAGUGCCAGAGCGAACACAGCUCACAAGAGAGAUGGAGGCUCUUAUGCACAGGUUCAGUUCGUUGGUGAAAUUGUCACUAGCAUACUUAGACCCAACAUAGAGAACGUGGUGACUCUCAUACCUAGAACUGGGACCUGUACGGGAUUAAUUCGUCACUGGACCUUCCUGCAGGUGUGGUUGUGACAUUGGCCAGCACCUGAGUGAUAGCAGUUUCCUGUCUGGUCCCAGCCCAAAGGUAAAAUUGUAAUAUAUCAGUGGUCCCAGCACCUAGGUGAUAUGACUCUCCUCUUUUUAUGGGACCCUACAAGUUUUGGGUAUUGUAAAAUAUUACUGAAUCCUGCACACAUGUUAUGUGACUCUCCCACCUGUGCCCUACAUGUUGUGCCAUAUUAUGGCACAAUAUGUCACAUUAGAAAUUGUUACAUAUGGCUGGGCAUGGUGGCUCAUGCCUGUAAUCCCAGCACUCUGGGAGGCUGAGAUGAGCAGAUCACUUGAGGUCAGGAGUUCAAUACCAGCCUGGCCAACAUGGUGAAUCCCCAUCUCUACUAAAACAAUAAAAAAAUUAGCCUCGUGUGGUGGCACAUGCCUAUAAUCCCAGCUACUUGGGAGGCUGAGGCAAGAGAAUCACUUGAAUCCAGGAGGCAAUGGUUGCAGUGAGCCGACAUCACACCACUGCACUGCAGCCUGGGCAACAGAGCAAGACUGUCUCAAAAACAACAACGACAACAACAAAUUGUUACAUAUAAGGCCGGGCACAGUGGCCUCACGCCUGUAAUGCCAUCAGUUUGGAAGGCUGAGGCGGGUGCAUCACCUGAGGUCAGGAGUUGAAGACCAGUCUGAUCAAUAUGGUGAAACGUCUCUACUAAAAAUACAAAAAUUAGCCGGGCAUGGUGACGUGCGCCUGUAGUCCCAGUGACUUGGGAGGCUGAGACAGGAGAAUUGCGGGACAUGGAGGUUGCAGUGAGCCAAGAUGCGCCACUACACUCCAGCCUGGGCAACAGAGCGAGACUCUGUCUCAAAAAAUAAAAACAAAAAAGAAAUUGUUACAUAUUGUUGGGUCCAACACCCAGGGGAUGUAACACCUUUUCUCUGGACCCUGCCUACAUGGAGCUUUGUGACGUAACUCAAUGAUGCCCGUCACCAUGGUGAUGUUACUAUCUUCUUUUUUUUUUUUUUCCGGAGACAGAGUCUCGCUCUGUUGCACAGGCUGGAGUGCAAUGGUGUGAUCUUGGCUCAUUGCAACCUCCACCUCCCAGGUUCAAGCGAUUCUUCUGCAUUGGCCUCCUGAGUAGCUGGAACUUACAGGCAUGUGCCACCACACCCAGCUAAUUUUUGUAUUUUUAGUAGAGAUGGGGUUUCAGCAUGUUGGCCAGGCUGGUCUCGAAUUCCUGGCUUCAAGUGAUCCACCCUCCUCAGCCUCCCAAAGUGUUGGGAUUACAGGUGUGAGCCACUGCGCCCGGCCAGUAAUAUUACUUUCUUCUCCUGCCUGGUCUCUGCUCACAGAGACCUAGCAUCAAGGUGAUGUGACUCUUAUUUUUCUUAGGCCCUUCAUAUUUGUGUAUUGUGACAUACUGCUCAGCUGAACACCUAAAGGUUGGGAGUCUCCUACCUGGGCCCUUCCUACAGGGAGCAUUGUGACAUGUCCCUGCAUUCAUCAUCAGGAGAUGUGACUCUCCUCUUCUGCCUGCACCCUGCCUACAGGGAAAAUUGAGGCACAUUGCUGUGGCCAGCAACCAGAUGCUGUGUUUUUUCUGCGUGGGUCUUUAUUACAGAAAUGAUGGUUGACAUAUCGCUGGGCCCAGCAUCCAGGUGAUGUGACAGUCUUCUUCUGUCUGGUCCCUGCUUACAGGAACAUUGUAGCAUAUUGCUACGCCCAGCACCUACCUGAUGGGAUUUUUCCCUGGUUUUAGGUUUUGCCUGCAGCAGACACUGAAAUAUUGCUAGGCCCUGCACUGACAUGUGAGUCUUCUGCCUAUGAUUUGGCCACUUGGGCCAUUGUGACAUAUUGCUGGGUCCAACAGCCAGGUGAUAUAACUUUUAUGCCUGGACCGUGCCUACGGGUGGCAUUUUGAAAUGUCUUUGCACCAGUCACACAGGUGUGAUUGUGACACAUACCUCUGCUCAGAAUGUGAGCGAUUUGACUCUCCUGCCUGGGCCCACUACACAGAUGGGAUUGUGACAUAUCACUGGACCCAGCAUGUAAAUCAUGUGAUCCUAUACUCUUGCCUUGGUGCUGUCACAGAGGGCAUUGUGACAUAUCACUGGUCCCUGCACCCAGGUUAGAUUGUGACAUACACUUUAGCCCAGUUCACAGUUGCGAUGAUGAUACUCAUACCACAAACCAGUCCGUAGCAGAGGUGCUGGUAGCUAGACUUAGAGAAACAGGUAAAGUCCUGGAUUACCAUUCUUUCACAUUUUGUGUAGUCUUUGGAUGGUACAGAGAGUGUUAUCAUAGGGCCAAGCACACAGGUGAGACUGUUUCUCAAAUGCACAACCUACCAAAUGUUGGCAUUGUCACCCUCACAGAUGGACAGACCCCACUGGAGAGAUCCUGAAUUUCACACGUGAAUGGAGUCCACGUAAAAAUUGUGACUGUCAUAUGUAAUCAUGUGGUAACAGUUAAGAUGGUGACUCAUUUCUAAACCCAGCUCAUAGGCAGGUGAGAACUCUUUUCUCUAGACCCAGCCAAUUGGAGAGGUGUUGACUCUAAUGCAUGAGCCUAGGUCCACAGGUAUGAUUAUGAAUUUGCAUUAGAAAAAAAAGUCUCAGAGCAAGUUGUGACUAUCAUGGAUAUUGUAUAAAGCCCUCAGGUAGUACAGAGAGUUCUAUAACAGGGCCUAGCACACAGGUGACAUUGUGACACUCGUAUGCAAACCCAGCCAACAGUAAAAUUGACAACUUUUCACAUGAACACAGCUCACUGUUGAAGUUCUGAAUCUCACACCUGGAGGUGGUUGGAAAAUUGACUCUCAAAUGUGGAUUCGGUUCACAUGUGGGCUGGUGACUCUCAAACCAAGAUUCAGCAUACCUGUGAGGCUGUGACUCCACUAAGGGGACACAGUCCACAGCAAAGAUUGAGGCUCUGAUGGAUGUACCAGUCCACCAUUGAGAUUGUGACUCGUGUACUUGGACUCAACAUACAACACGUGUUGACUCUAAUACUUAGAAAUGGGAUGUGUGAGAUUGUUCAUUCCUACAUUUUUUUGCGACUGUGAUUGUAACAUACACCUUUGCCCAGCACCUGAGUGAUUUGACCCUCCUGCCUGGUGCCUAGUGCACAGAUCGGAUUGUGACACAUUGCUGAGUCCAACACCUAGGUGGUGUGACUCUGUACUUUUGCCUCAGCACUGUCCACAGGGGGGCAUUGUGACAUAUCACUGGACCCCACACCCUUGUUAUGUGACUCUCCUGCCUGUGCCCUGUCUUCAUGGGCCAUUGUGACAUUGCUAUGUGCAACAUCCAGGUGAUGUAACUUUCCUUGCUGGGUCCUGCUUGCAGGAAGCAUUAUAAUCUGUCUGUGCAUCAAUCACCCAAGUAAUGUGACUCUCUCUCUACCAGGUUGCUGCUUACAGAAAGAAUUGUUACCUAUCACUGGGCCAGCACCUAGCUGUUGUGAUGCUUCUUUUUCUACCUACAUUCAGCUCACAAUGUAGAUUUUGACAUACUGCAGGGCUAAACACCAAAAAUGAAGUUACAUUUUUCCUCAGCACUUUCCUCAUCAGGCAUUGUGACAUAUUGUUUGGCCCAGAACUAAGGUAAUGUGAGCCUCCUGCCUGAACCCUGCCCAUAGUGGGCAUAGUGACAUAUUUGUGAACCCAUCAUCCAUAUAAUGUGACUUUCUUACUUGGCUUUUCCCUAUAGGAGAGAUUGUGACAUAUAUUUGAGCCCAGAACCCAAAUAAUUUGACCCUUCUUUCCUGCUAUGGCCAUGCUCCCAUAAAAGAGAGUGACUUAUCACUGCGAUUAGCACACAGGCUAUGUGAUUCUUCUGCCUGGUUCCUCUCCACAGGGGUUAGUUUGACAUAUCUCUGGGCCCAUUACUUAGAUGAUGUGACUCUUAUUCCUGGGAUGUGUUCGCAGUUUGGAUUGUAACAUACUGCUUAGUCAAGCACUUAUGUGAUGUGACUCUUUUCUCAUGCUUUGGCCUUGUCCACUGGGGUGCUUGUGAUAUGUAGCUGGGCCCAGCUCUUAGGUUAUGUGAUCUCUGUUUUGUUUUUUUUUGUUUUUUGCCUGACCUCUGCAUACAUUUUGUAUUGUGAUAUAUAUGGCUGGGUCCAACACCUAGGUAUGAGUCUCCUGAAUGGGCUCUGUUCAGAAAUGUAUUAUGACAUACUCUUUUUUCUUCAUCACUUAAGUGUUGUGACUCUCCUUU